GUUCCUGUUAACCUCUACCUCGUGUUGGACAGCAGGAGUCUGUUGAUGUGCCUUACAUGUACUUUUGUCUUGUGAGUGCAACCAGAAUAAAGUGUCAUUCGGUGUUUUAAAUACUACACUGUGUUUUUGUCCCUUUUCCUUUUUUUCUUAUGUAUUUAAUAAGCAAAAAGGAUGCACCAAGAAGAACGUGUACCUUGAUAUUUUUCUACAUGCCCAAAUUUAACGUACUCUUGUGAGUGCAAUACGUGCCUACAUUCAUUGUUUUGGUGACAGACAAUAUUACCC